CACGUAGGGCGCGAGCGUUGUCCGGAAUUAUUGGGCGUAAAGAGCUCGUAGGCGGCCUGUUGCGUCCGCUGUGAAAGCCCGGGGCUUAACCCCGGGUCGGCAGUGGAUACGGGCAGGCUAGAAGUAGGUAGGGGAGAAUGGAAUUCCCGGUGUAGCGGUGAAAUGCGCAGAUAUCGGGAGGAACACCGGUGGCGAAGGCGGUUCUCUGGGCCUUACCUGACGCUGAGGAGCGAAAGCGUGGGGAGCGAACAGG
rnacentral:rRNA from 1 species